rnacentral:rRNA from 1 species
UACGUAGGGUGCGAGCGUUAAUCGGAAUUACUGGGCGUAAAGCGUGUGUAGGCGGUUCUUUAAGUCGGAUGUGAAAUCCCCGGGCUCAACCCAGGAAGUGCACUCGAAACUGGAGGGCUAGAGUAUCGGAGAGGUUGGUGGAAUUCUCGGUGUAGAGGUGAAAUUCGUAGAUAUCGAGAGGAACACCGGUGGCGAAGGCGGCCAACUGGACGAAUACUGACGCUGAGACACGAAAGCGUGGGGAGCAAACAGG